rnacentral:rRNA from 1 species
UACGUAGGGGUCGAGCGUUGUCCGGAGUACUGGGCGUAAAGCGUGCGCAGGCGGCUCAUUGCGCCCGGCGUGAAAGCCCCCGGCUCAACCGGGGAGGGUCGUCGGGGACGGGUGAGCUUGAGGGUAUCAGGGGUUGGUGGAAUUCCCGGUGUAGUGGUGAAAUGCGUAGAGAUCGGGGAGGAACACCCGUGGCGAAGGCGGCCAAACUG